rnacentral:sRNA from 1 species
UGCAUGCUAGGAUCAUCUUAUGACCCGCCCCAAUAUGAGAAUAAAAGUGGGGCGCAUGCCCCGCGAUAUUCGAAUUUGAGGCAGAAUUGUGAAAGUGCGAAGCACAAAACAAUUCGUCAGGCA